rnacentral:rRNA from 1 species
CUACGGGGGGUGCAAGCGUUAAUCGGAAUUACUGAGCGUAAAGCGCGCGUAGGCGGUUUGCUCAGUCGGAUGUGAAAGCCCAGGGCUCAACCUUGGAACUGCAUACGAUACUGGCAAACUAGAGUGUGAGAGAGGAUAGUGGAAUUUCCGGUGUAGCGGUGAAAUGCGUAGAUAUCGGAAGGAACAUCAGUGGCGAAGGCGACUGUCUGGCUCAACACUGACGCUGAGGUGCGAAAGCGUGGGUAGCAAACAGGAUUAGAAACCCUAGUAGUCC